AAAUUCCUACGGUGUACGUAGCAUAUGCAUGUCUUAAACCAAUAAGUUUAAUAUGGAAGUUCAAUAUUUAAAUGUAGCUAACAUGCCAUCUUUUUAAGAAGGAAGUUACAAACAUUUGUGAGAGCAUCCACCUGUGAGAGCAGGUUUAUGGACAUCUAGAGAGAACGGCAUAUGUGGGGCUAUA
rnacentral:other from 18 species